rnacentral:rRNA from 2 species
AGAGUUUGAUCCUGGCUCAGGAUGAACGCUGGCGGCGUGCCUAAUACAUGCAAGUCGAGCGAACGGACGAGAAGCUUGCUUCUCUGAUGUUAGCGGCGGACGGGUGAGUAACACGUGGAUAACCUACCUAUAAGACUGGGAUAACUUCGGGAAACCGGAGCUAAUACCGGAUAAUAUUUUGAACCGCAUGGUUCAAAAGUGAAAGACGGUCUUGCUGUCACUUAUAGAUGGAUCCGCGCUGCAUUAGCUAGUUGGUAAGGUAACGGCUUACCAAGGCAACGAUGCAUAGCCGACCUGAGAGGGUGAUCGGCCACACUGGAACUGAGACACGGUCCAGACUCCUACGGGAGGCAGCAGUAGGGAAUCUUCCGCAAUGGGCGAAAGCCUGACGGAGCAACGCCGCGUGAGUGAUGAAGGUCUUCGGAUCGUAAAACUCUGUUAUUAGGGAAGAACAUAUGUGUAAGUAACUGUGCACAUCUUGACGGUACCUAAUCAGAAAGCCACGGCUAACUACGUGCCAGCAGCCGCGGUAAUACGUAGGUGGCAAGCGUUAUCCGGAAUUAUUGGGCGUAAAGCGCGCGUAGGCGGUUUUUUAAGUCUGAUGUGAAAGCCCACGGCUCAACCGUGGAGGGUCAUUGGAAACUGGAAAACUUGAGUGCAGAAGAGGAAAGUGGAAUUCCAUGUGUAGCGGUGAAAUGCGCAGAGAUAUGGAGGAACACCAGUGGCGAAGGCGACUUUCUGGUCUGUAACUGACGCUGAUGUGCGAAAGCGUGGGGAUCAAACAGGAUUAGAUACCCUGGUAGUCCACGCCGUAAACGAUGAGUGCUAAGUGUUAGGGGGUUUCCGCCCCUUAGUGCUGCAGCUAACGCAUUAAGCACUCCGCCUGGGGA